CAGAAUAUGUUCAGUUGGAAGGGACCCACAAGGACCAUCAAGUCCAGUUCCUGGCCCUGCACAAGACUAUCCCCAAGAGUCACACCUUGUGCCUGAAAGCAUUGUCUAAAUGCUUUUUGAACUCUCAAGCUUUGUACUUUGACCACUUCCCUGGGGAGUCUGUUCCAGUGCCCAAACACCCUCUGGGUGAAGACCCUUUUUCUAAUAUCUAACCUAAGCCUUCACUGACACAACCCGUGGGUCCUGUUACUGGUCACUACAGGGAAGAGAUCAGUGUCUGAACUAGAUUCAGCAAGACAAACCUGGAAUGCUGGCUAGGAAAAUGCUGGCCAUGUAGGUGUGUUGUUUUUUCUAGUCCCUUGUGAAAUUUAAUUUUAAUCUGGUGAACACAUGAUAAUUGCUUUGACAUUGGGCUGCUGCUCAUUAAACUGGUCUGGGAUAUGGAAACCUGCCAGCUGGGUCACCUCUAGCCUUGGGUCCUGCCUCUUGCGGAAGGAGCUGGGUGGAAAGGGAAGCUCCAAGAAGAGUUACUCCAAGUGCCUGCACUUCCUUCAGUGUGAUCUCCAGUGCUUUCCUUGGGCAGCGGUGGUUGAUUGAAUGUGUGUAAAACCCCAUGGCUGACCAUAUGGCAAACCACCUGGCUAACCCCAGGCCUCCCAGUACAUGCCCUACUGAAAGCUGCAAGGUGGCACUUCUCAAAGGUCCCACACACUGGCUCUGGAUUACUUUUCUGGGUUCUCUGAGCAGGGGAGAGCCCCUCUCUGUGUCUUUCAUCUGCACUGAUAUUCUUGGGUCUGGGCUUUUGAGGAGAAGCAGUCUUUCCUGGAGCCCAUUUCUCAAGUGCUUUGCACUACUAUACCCCUACUUUACAAGUGAUUUUCCCUGUAGAAGGUUUCUUCCCAGCUUUAUCCUGGUGCACAUCACAACAAACCAAGAAGAAAACAACGGCCGAGCAGACUGGUCAGAGAAAUGGAAGCCCAGACCUACCUGUGAGGGAGAGUGAUGGAAGAAGCUGAAAUCAAGAGAUGCGGGUGGCUUUGGUGUGCAGCAGCUCAUUUGAGCUGGUGUUGGGUACCCACCAGGCAAAUUUGCUUUGAAUUGUUGUUGUGACAGAUGAUGAUGCCAUGCUGCCAGGGAUGGGAGAGGCAGACCGGCCAUGCCAAGUGUACUGAGUGAAAACUGCAUUUCCAAGCCAUCAGAGACCUGGCUGUGGGACAGGGAGCUUGUGUGAACCAACAGGACAAAAAUGCUUAACUUAAGGACUUGUGCAGCAAAACUGAGGCCAUUGACGGCCUCACAGACUGUAAAGACAAUAUACCAACACAGACCGGCAGCACCCAGGACGUUCCAACAGCUCAGGUGCUACAGUGCACCGGUGGCUGCUGAACCAUUUCUGAGUGGGACUAGUUCAAACUAUGUGGAGGAAAUGUAUUAUGCUUGGCUGGAAAAUCCCAAAAGUGUACAUAAGUCAUGGGACAUCUUUUUUCGCAACGCCAAUGCUGGAGCUGCUCCAGGCGCUGCUUACCAAAGCCCCCCUCCACUGACUACCAGCCUCUCCACCCUGUCCCAAGCCCAGUCCCUGGUUCAGGCACAGCCUAACGUGGAUAAACUGGUGGAGGACCAUCUUGCAGUGCAGUCUCUCAUCAGGGCAUAUCAGAUUCGAGGGCAUCAUGUAGCACAACUCGAUCCACUGGGCAUCUUGGAUGCAGAUCUGGACUCCUCCCUUCCAGCUGAUAUUAUCACAUCCACAGACAAACUGGGCUUUUAUGGUCUGGAUGAAUCUGACCUCGACAAAGUUUUCCACUUGCCCACAACCACUUUCAUCGGUGGAAAUGAAUCAGCUCUUCCGCUCCGGGAAAUCAUCCGUCGGCUGGAGAUGGCAUAUUGCCAGCACAUUGGCGUGGAGUUCAUGUUCAUCAAUGACCUGGAGCAGUGCCAAUGGAUCCGGCAGAAGUUUGAGACCCCAGGCAUCAUGCAGUUCACCAGUGAAGAGAAGCGCACACUGCUGGCCAGGCUGGUCCGCUCUACCAGGUUUGAGGAGUUCCUCCAUCGGAAAUGGUCUUCAGAGAAGCGUUUUGGUCUGGAGGGAUGCGAAGUGCUGAUCCCAGCCUUAAAGACCAUUAUUGAUAAGUCAAGUGAGAAGGGAGUGGAUUAUGUGAUCAUGGGGAUGCCUCACAGGGGACGCCUGAAUGUUCUUGCCAACGUGAUCAGGAAAGAGCUGGAGCAGAUCUUCUGCCAGUUCGACUCCAAGCUGGAGGCUGCUGAUGAGGGCUCUGGUGACGUGAAGUACCACCUGGGAAUGUACCACCGGCGGAUUAACCGUGUCACUGACAGGAACAUCACCCUUUCCUUGGUGGCAAAUCCUUCUCAUUUGGAAGCAGCUGAUCCUGUUGUUCAAGGCAAAACUAAGGCAGAGCAGUUUUACUGUGGGGACACAGAGGGGAAGAAGGUGAUGUCCAUCCUCCUGCAUGGAGAUGCUGCAUUUGCAGGGCAAGGCAUUGUGUACGAGACAUUUCACCUGAGUGACCUUCCCUCCUACACCACCCACGGCACUGUCCAUGUUGUAGUCAACAACCAGAUUGGCUUCACUACAGACCCCCGGAUGGCCCGCUCCUCCCCGUACCCGACUGACGUAGCCCGUGUAGUCAACGCACCAAUCUUCCAUGUCAAUGCAGAUGACCCUGAGGCCGUUGUCUAUGUGUGCAAUGUGGCAGCAGAAUGGCGAAGCACCUUCCACAAGGAUGUGGUGGUGGAUUUGGUUUGUUACAGGCGCAACGGGCACAAUGAGAUGGAUGAACCUAUGUUCACGCAACCCUUGAUGUACAAACAGAUCCGGAAACAGAAGCCAGUGCUGCAGAAAUACGCAGAGCUGCUGAUUUCCCAGGGGGUGGUAAAUCAGCCAGAAUACGAGGAGGAAAUUGCCAAGUAUGAUAAGAUUUGUGAGGAGGCCCAUGCCAGAUCCAAGGAUGAGAAGAUCUUGCACAUCAAGCACUGGCUGGACUCACCUUGGCCAGGUUUCUUCACUUUGGAUGGGCAGCCUCGGAGCAUGACCUGCCCUUCCACUGGCCUCAAUGAAGAGGACCUGACGCACAUUGGUCAAGUGGCCAGCUCGGUGCCAGUGGAGGAUUUCACUAUCCAUGGAGGUCUGAGCCGUAUUCUGAAAACCCGUGGGGAGAUGGUGAAGAACCGGAUGGUUGACUGGGCCCUGGCAGAGUACAUGGCAUUUGGUUCCCUGCUCAAAGAGGGCAUCCACAUCCGCCUGAGUGGCCAGGACGUUGAGAGGGGGACAUUUAGCCAUCGCCACCAUGUCCUGCAUGAUCAGAAUGUGGACAAGAGGACCUGUAUCCCCAUGAACCACCUCUGGCCCAACCAGGCUCCGUACACUGUCUGCAACAGCUCCCUGUCAGAGUACGGUGUCUUGGGAUUUGAGCUGGGCUUUGCUAUGGCCAGUCCCAAUGCCCUGGUGCUUUGGGAAGCCCAGUUUGGGGAUUUCCACAACACUGCUCAAUGCAUCAUCGACCAGUUCAUCUGUCCUGGGCAGGCCAAGUGGGUCAGGCAGAAUGGCAUUGUCCUGCUGCUUCCCCACGGUAUGGAGGGCAUGGGUCCUGAGCACUCCUCUGCCCGCCCAGAGCGAUUCCUGCAGAUGUGCAACGAUGAUCCCGAUGUCUUCCCUAAGCUGGAUGACUUUGAUGUGCGUCAGCUCUAUGAGUGCAACUGGAUUGUCGUGAACUGCUCCACUCCAGCCAACUUCUUCCAUGUCCUCCGGCGCCAGAUCCUCCUGCCCUUCCGCAAACCGGCACCCACUUCCUCCGUGUCAUCCCUGACAGUGGCCCUGCAGCCCAGAACCCCGAGCAGGUGAAGCGGGUGCUGUUUUGCACUGGCAAGGUGUACUAUGACCUGACCCGCGAGCGCAAGGCCCGGCAGAUGGAGGCUGAUGUGGCCAUCACCAGGGUGGAGCAGCUCUCCCCGUUCCCCUUUGACCUCCUCCAGCGGGAAGCUCAGAAAUACCCAGCUGCCGAGCUGGUAUGGUGCCAGGAGGAGCACAAGAACCAGGGCUACUAUGACUAUGUCAAACCCCGGCUUCGCACCACCAUCAA